rnacentral:misc_RNA from 1 species
GAUGAAGAACGCAGCGAAAUGCGAUACGUAAUGUGAAUUGCAAAUUCAGUGAAUCAUCGAGUCUUUGAACGCACAUUGCGCCCCCUGGUAUUCCGGGGGGCAUGCCUGUCCGAGCGUCAUUGCUGCCCUCAAGCACGGCUUGUGUGUUGGGCCCCGUCCUCCGAUCCCGGGGGACGGGCCCGAAAGGCAGCGGCGGCACCGCGUCCGGUCCUCGAGCGUAUGGGGCUUUGUCACCCGCUCUGUAGGCCCGGCCGGCGCUUGCCGAUCAACCCAAAUUUUUUAUCCAGGUUGACCUCGGAUCAGGUAGGGAUACCCGCUGAACUUAAGCAUAUCAAUAAGCGCAGGA